rnacentral:rRNA from 1 species
CAAAGGAAUUGACGGGGGCCCGCACAAGCGGUGGAGCAUGUGGUUUAAUUCGAAGCAACGCGAAGAACCUUACCAGGUCUUGACAUCCUUUGACCACUCUGGAGACAGAGCUUUCCCUUCGGGGACAAAGUGACAGGUGGUGCAUGGUUGUCGUCAGCUCGUGUCGUGAGAUGUUGGGUUAAGUCCCGCAACGAGCGCAACCCUUGAUUUUAGUUGCCAGCAUUUAGUUGGGCACUCUAAAGUGACUGCCGGUGCAAGCCGGAGGAAGGUGGGGAUGACGUCAAAUCAUCAUGCCCCUUAUGACCUGGGCUACACACGUGCUACAAUGGAUAGUACAAAGGGUCGCGAAGCCGCGAGGUGGAGCUAAUCCCAUAAAACUAUUCUCAGUUCGGAUUGUAGGCUGCAACUCGCCUACAUGAAGCCGGAAUCGCUAGUAAUCGUGGAUCAGCAUGCCACGGUGAAUACGUUCCCGGGCCUUGUACACACCGCCCGUCACACCACGAGAGUUUGUAACACCCGAAGUCGGUAGGGUAACCUUUAUGGAGCCAGCCGCCGAAGGUGGGACAGAUAAUUGGGGUGAAGUCGUAACAAGGUAGCCGUAUCGGAAGGUGCGGCUGGAUCACCUCCUUUCUAAGGAA